UUCAUUGUGCCUGCUAUUGUUAAUGCGCCAAGGAACGAUGUUGAAGGCGGGGAAAUUCUCUUUGUGCCUGACCUCAGGUGAACGUGAUGGGACCGCAUGGCGUGAAAUUCACUCUCUGCGUCACCCCGGGUCUCACUCUGUGUCUCACUGUUCCUUGUUCCUGAUUUCCAGAGCAAACCUGUUCCGAGAAUUGGGUCGCAAAUAAAAACUGGUGUUAUUACGUUUCCACGUUUGUAACAACUUUAUACAAAGCGAUUCAAGAAUGUUCAAACCGUGAUUCAAGGCUGCUCGAAAUCAAUUCAAAGGAUGAAGCGAACUUUGUAUCCCGCAAUCUUGUGAACCAAACCCGCAUAUACUGGAUUGGAAAAUGCGAAAACAGGAAUGCGAGCUUCCGUCUCCUGUACAAGGGGCUUUCGGGGACGCCCUACUGCUGGCAGUGUGAUCCGACUUCAGUCAGUAGGAAGUAUCCUUGCGAUCGUGAUCAGCAUUUCAUCUGCGAGAAGUCGUUGUUGCCGGAUAUUCCUGAAAAGAUCCAGGGUCUCUGUCAACAGCCAGUGGAGGCUCGUGAAUCAAAUGACUACCUCCAGUCUCCCCUUCACUCUCACUCCCCGAUCCUUUCAGAUUCCCCGCCCACACUCUCCGCCCCUCCCUCCUACGCCAAUUCCUCCUUUUAACGCAACUAUAUUCUCCCCAGCACACACUGACAAACCUCUCUCCCCGUCCAUCCCCUUCUUUCCCUCCAUUUCCCCGUCCCGCGCUUUCUGCUCCCUCUACCUAUCUUAUUAUUACCUCGUACUUCCUCCGCCCGCAUUCUUCUGCUCCCUCUACCCUCCUUUUUCACCUC